AAUAAGUUUCGGCAAUAUUUUGUCCUUUGGUGACACAGAACUUUUCCUUCACAGCUGCUCAAUAUGGCAUUUUCUCUCGCAUGCUCUUCUUGUGAUACUAUAUUGAAUUUCUGUUUUCUCCCCACUUCCAAUUAAUGCAAGAUGAGCCUUUUUUGAAAGGCCCUGUGGGAGUUAUGCACCCAUUUCUCAGCAAUUUUCCAUCUGAGCUGGCACCAAAUGUGCUUAAGAGAGUUCUUGAAAUCUCACCCGUAGAGUCUGAUCCUUAACUAAAGAGUCCCCAUUGGAAACUAUGAUUAUUACAAAGGUUACCAGCAAUGAACAUUACUUUGUUAUGCCUGUGACGUGUGUACCCUUGAUUCAUAACAAUAAUGACACUUUUCACCUAGGUAGCACUUUUCAUCUGAACUGAAUGAUCAGAGUCAGUAUUUCCAUUUUGCUGGUGUUUCAUAUAAAUCUCUGCAUUUGUCAUUGACAAAUGAAAGAGCUUCAGAAAUGUUUUCCCCAUCAUUUGUCUCCUGGAACCAAAAUGAAACAAGGAAAGUUCAUGUUGUAUCACAAAGAGUAGGAAAAAACCCAGAGAUUGUUGGCUCAGAGAACUUAGUAAUGGCAGAUAUGAUGAAAUAGCUGGGGGACAUGCUGGGCCCCACACUAAGUGUAAUGGAAGGCAUGCAGUCAGCACAUGGACCAAAACGCCCUUCGUAGGUCCUGGGGCACUGUAAGUGGGCCUUAAUAGCACAGCCUCCCCCUCCUCUUUUCAGUGCCCUGGUACGUAGAUAAUAGGGUUUUGCUGGUGUACUCUCCAUGCAUUCACUCGAAAUCAGCAUGUAACAGUGAAUCAUUGUGACAUGAUGUUCCUUUUUCAAGGGCUGUGAGAAAGAUAUUUUCCAGAUAGAGUUCAGUUUGUUUUCUUUUAUGUUUGAUGGGAACCACACUUGGUAUUUACAGUCUUUUAACAUUUCCUUGCAGCCACAAAUAUUCAGGCUGUUAUUACACGUGAAUCAAAGGUGUCUGACAAACUCCUUUGUCAGCAAGAAUGCAGGUAAAAGGAGGAGUAGGUGCAUGAGCAGCCCUCUGGGUAAAGAUAGUAUUUUGUAUACCAUCUAUGCUGAGUUUUCUUCCUUUUGCACAGCAAAAAUGCAACAACUGAAAGUUCACAAGUAGGAUUUCUGUUUUGGCUUAUUCUGUAAGUAGAAUUUAACAUAACAGCCUAAAAGCCCUCUUUAUUUCAGGCAUGAAAUAAUCAGUUCCCAAAGGAAACACAUCAUUUAAGCUGUUUGUUAAUGUGUCUAAAACUGUUAGAACCGGCUGUGCUGAGAGAUGUACAGAGGCACAGUCCAAAGAGAUAUAAUUCAAAAGAAGAUGGAGUAACAUGUUUCCUAAUUAGGAACUGUAUAGAAAAGAAGGUUGCAAACUUUUGUCUUAAUCUGUAAAAUCCUUCCCAAUAUUUCUGGCAGUUUGGGUCUGCUUCCCCUUCUGUUGCUAGCUUUUGAUGUAAAAAAGUGAUGUCACAGAAGUAAAAGCAACAAGAAAACCACAAAGUAAAGUAAAAAAUGUACAUAAUUGAAAACAUACCAGUGAAUGACUGCUCUGUGGUUUCUGUAAUGUGGACCCCAUAGGAGAAUGCAGUGUGUGGGACUCUGAAUAUAGCUAUAACUCUGGAGCUCUUUUUCCUAACUCCAGUGCUGUGUCCUAAGGGCAGAGGAGAUUCUUCCCAAUGAUGGCUUAAAAAUAUUAAAAGGACUUUUUCCAGGAGAUGAUCUACAAAAAAUACCCUUCAAUAAAAUGAGCAACGACCUCAUGAUGGGAUGCUCUUACCAAAAAAAAGCCCCCAGCAACAACAACAAAAAUGGGCUGUAGAGGCAGCGAUGAAUUGAAGCUCUUCAAAAGCCUAGAAAAAUAGAAUCAUUCAAAGACUAAUGGGUCAUAUGAACCUUAGCUGCUUGCCAUGAACUUGUAUUAAAUGUCUGAGAUUGUAAAAGACUACUGUUGUUGCACCGAUUUUGUGGUUUUAGAUCUCUACUCUUCCAGCUGUGCUCUGCAGAAAUUAGAUUUAUACCUAUCUGAUUCAUUCAUUGCCAUUGUCACAUUUAUUUCAAAUAAGAAAAGUUGUAAAUUUCACCAUUUUUACCUCAUUUUUAGUCACAGUUUUUGGAAGAACAGCAACAAAAAGAAGAGUUGCAAAAGGACUUGGACGGUUCCUUAGAGGAUAUCAUAAAUGGAGAAAGAACAAAGUGUAACCUAACAAAGUUUGGCAUACAAAGAUGCUUUAACACACCAGAUUUUAUCACCAAACUUUAUCAAGCCUCUUGAAGUUUUCUUUGCUGAAUAUUUUAUUUAAUUGAAGAUAUCGAAAAUGACAAGCAUUUUCAACCAAAGGAGCAGAGAAUAUAUCUGGUUCAUAACUGCCUGGUGCUGAAGAUGUUCUCCAGAGAAGCUGGAGGAUGUGGUCUGAAACAUUGUCAUGCAGAGGAGAGAAUUUGAGCCUGUCUCUUCCAUGUUCCGGUUGAGAAGACUAAUCAGAUUUGUACUGAGGGUUACAGUGUGAGAAGAAGGGAGGAUUAGUGGUUGGGUAACAUAUAAAUGCCAGAUUGUUAGAGGUUCUCAUAUGUUACCGCCUGGUAAGGAGCUGGUGACUGUUACAAGAAGAUGUCUCUUUCAGCCUGGAAAUGACCAGAAGUUUCUGUGUAAAGAAGUGGGUCAACUUCUUUUAUCUACUGGAUAUUGUAUCGAAUAUGUAACUGUACAAGAGUGCUGCAGUAACUUGACUUCAGGAAGUGCCACAACUGAGGAAAUGAAAAGCUGAAUAUGAACCAGUUGCCUCAACUAUUCCUGAAUUUAUGAAAUCUCAGAUAACAGGGAACAACGAAGUUUGGUCUCUUUGCAAAGACAAUGAGGGAUAAAGAUGGGAAAAUGAAGGAAAAUGUGAGAAGGACAAGUCAGCAACAUGUCAGUAUCUGGAAAAAUACCUAAA